GUAAGGAAUAUUGGGCAAUGGAGGCAACUCUGACCCAGCCAUGCCGCGUGGAGGAUGAAGGUCCUCUGGAUUGUAAACUUCUUUUAUAUGGGACGAAAAAGGGCCUUUCCAGGCCAACUGACGGUACCAUAUGAAUAAGCACCGGCUAACUCCGUGCCAGCAGCCGCGGUAAUACGGAGGGUGCAAGCGUUAUCCGGAUUCACUGGGUUUAAAGGGUGCGUAGGUGGGUUGGUAAGUCAGUGGUGAAAUCUCCGGGCUUAACCCGGAAACUGCCAUUGAUACUAUCAGUCUUGAAUAUUGUGGAGGUCAGCGGAAUAUGUCAUGUAGCGGUGAAAUGCUUAGAUAUGACAUAGAACACCAAUUGCGAAGGCAGCUGGCUACGCAUAUAUUGACACUGAGGCACGAAAGCGUGGGGAUCAAACAGGAUUAGAAACCCUGGUAGUCC
rnacentral:rRNA from 1 species